rfam:Capsicum annuum cultivar Zunla-1 chromosome 6, whole genome shotgun sequence
UUGUUUGCGGAUGUAGCAUAAUCAAGAUUCACAUGCAAAGGGCAAACUGGUUAUAUAAUUGAUGACAAUUAGUUAUGGCCAUGGCUAUUCGUUAGUGAGAAUCUUGAUGAUGCUGCAUCAGCAAUAAA